UGGGGAAUAUUGCACAAUGGGCGCAAGCCUGAUGCAGCCAUGCCGCGUGUGUGAAGAAGGCCUUCGGGUUGUAAAGCACUUUCAGCGAGGAGGAAGGGUUCAGUGUUAAUAGCACUGUUCAUUGACGUUACUCGCAGAAGAAGCACCGGCUAACUCCGUGCCAGCAGCCGCGGUAAUACGGAGGGUGCAAGCGUUAAUCGGAAUUACUGGGCGUAAAGCGCACGCAGGCGGUUUGUUAAGUCAGAUGUGAAAUCCCCGCGCUUAACGUGGGAACUGCAUUUGAAACUGGCAAGCUAGAGUCUUGUAGAGGGGGGUAGAAUUCCAGGUGUAGCGGUGAAAUGCGUAGAGAUCUGGAGGAAUACCGGUGGCGAAGGCGGCCCCCCUGGACAAAAGACUGACGCUCAGGUGCGAAAGCGUGGGGAGCAAAACAGGAUUAGAUACCCUGGUAGUCCACGCUGUAAAACGAUGUCGACUUGGAGGUUGUGCCCUUGAGGCGUGGCUUCCGGAGCUAACGCGUUAAGUCGACC
rnacentral:rRNA from 1 species